UAAGUUAGAAAGGGCGCACGGUGGAUGCCUUGACACUAGGAGUCGAUGAAGGACGGGACUAACGCCGAUAUGCUUCGGGGAGCUGUAAGUAAGCUUUGAUCCGAAGAUUUCCGAAUGGGGAAACCCACCAUACGUAAUGGUAUGGUAUCCUUAUCUGAAUACAUAGGGUAAGGAAGACAGACCCAGGGAACUGAAACAUCUAAGUACCUGGAGGAAGAGAAAGCAAAUGCGAUUUCCUGAGUAGCGGCGAGCGAAACGGAACAUAGCCCAAACCAAGAGGCUUGCCUCUUGGGGUUGUAGGACAUUCUAUACGGAGUUACAAAGGAACGAGGUAGACGAAGCGACCUGGAAAGGUCCGUCGUAGAGGGUAACAACCCCGUAGUCGAAACUUCGUUCUCUCUCUUGAAUGUAUCCUGAGUACGGCGGAACACGUGAAAUUCCGUCGGAAUCUGGGAGGACCAUCUCCCAAGGCUAAAUACUCCCUAGUGAUCGAUAGUGAACCAGUACCGUGAGGGAAAGGUGAAAAGCACCCCGGAAGGGGAGUGAAAGAGAUCCUGAAACCGUGUGCCUACAAAUAGUCAGAGCCCGUUAACGGGUGAUGGCGUGCCUUUUGUAGAAUGAACCGGCGAGUUACGAUCCCGUGCGAGGUUAAGCUGAAGAGGCGGAGCCGCAGCGAAAGCGAGUCUGAAUAGGGCGUUUAGUACGUGGUCGUAGACCCGAAACCAGGUGAUCUACCCAUGUCCAGGGUGAAGUUCAGGUAACACUGAAUGGAGGCCCGAACCCACGCACGUUGAAAAGUGCGGGGAUGAGGUGUGGGUAGCGGAGAAAUUCCAAUCGAACCUGGAGAUAGCUGGUUCUCCCCGAAAUAGCUUUAGGGCUAGCCUUAAGUGUAAGAGCCUUGGAGGUAGAGCACUGAUUGGACUAGGGGUCCUCAUCGGAUUACCGAAUUCAGUCAAACUCCGAAUGCCAAUGACUUAUCCUUAGGAGUCAGACUGCGAGUGAUAAGAUCCGUAGUCAAGAGGGAAACAGCCCAGACUGCCAGCUAAGGUCCCAAAGUGUGUAUUAAGUGGAAAAGGAUGUGGAGUUGCUUAGACAACUAGGAUGUUGGCUUAGAAGCAGCCACCAUUUAAAGAGUGCGUAAUAGCUCACUAGUCGAGUGACUCUGCGCCGAAAAUGUACCGGGGCUAAAUACACCACCGAAGCUGCGGAUUGAUACCAAUGGUAUCAGUGGUAGGGGAGCGUUCUAAGGACAGUGAAGUCAGACCGGAAGGACUGGUGGGGUGCUUAGAAGUGAGAAUGCCGGUAUGAGUAGCGAAAGACGGGUGAGAAUCCCGUCCACCGAAUGCCUAAGGUUUCCUGAGGAAGGCUCGUCCGCUCAGGGUUAGUCAGGACCUAAGCCGAGGCCGACAGGCGUAGGCGAUGGACAACAGGUUGAUAUUCCUGUACCACCUCUUUAUCGUUUGAGCAAUGGAGGGACGCAGAAGGAUAGAAGAAGCGUGCGAUUGGUUGUGCACGUCCAAGCAGUUAGGCUGAUAAGUAGGCAAAUCCGCUUAUCGUGAAGGCUGAGCUGUGAUGGGGAAGCUCCUUAUGGAGCGAAGUCUUUGAUUCCCCGCUGCCAAGAAAAGCUUCUAGCGAGAUAAAAGGUGCCUGUACCGCAAACCGACACAGGUAGGCGAGGAGAGAAUCCUAAGGUGUGCGAGAGAACUCUGGUUAAGGAACUCGGCAAAAUGACCCCGUAACUUCGGGAGAAGGGGUGCUUUCUUAACGGAAAGCCGCAGUGAAUAGGCACAAGCGACUGUUUAGCAAAAACACAGCUCUCUGCGAAGCCGUAAGGCGAAGUAUAGGGGGUGACACCUGCCCGGUGCUGGAAGGUUAAGGAGAGGGGUUAGCGUAAGCGAAGCUCUGAACUGAAGCCCCAGUAAACGGCGGCCGUAACUAUAACGGUCCUAAGGUAGCGAAAUUCCCUGUCGGGUAAGUUCCGACCCGCACGAAAGGUGUAACGAUUUGGGCACUGUCUCAACCAGAGACUCGGUGAAAUUAUAGUACCUGUGAAGAUGCAGGUUACCCGCGACAGGACGGAAAGACCCCGUGGAGCUUUACUGUAGCCUGAUAUUGAAUUUUGGUACAGUUUGUACAGGAUAGGCGGGAGCCUUUGAAACCGGAGCGCUAGCUUCGGUGGAGGCGCUGGUGGGAUACCGCCCUGACUGUAUUGAAAUUCUAACCUACGGGUCUUAUCGACCCGGGAGACAGUGUCAGGUGGGCAGUUUGACUGGGGCGGUCGCCUCCUAAAGUGUAACGGAGGCGCCCAAAGGUUCCCUCAGAAUGGUUGGAAAUCAUUCGUAGAGUGCAAAGGCAUAAGGGAGCUUGACUGCGAGACCUACAAGUCGAGCAGGGACGAAAGUCGGGCUUAGUGAUCCGGUGGUUCCGCAUGGAAGGGCCAUCGCUCAACGGAUAAAAGCUACCCCGGGGAUAACAGGCUUAUCUCCCCCAAGAGUCCACAUCGACGGGGAGGUUUGGCACCUCGAUGUCGGCUCAUCGCAUCCUGGGGCUGUAGUCGGUCCCAAGGGUUGGGCUGUUCGCCCAUUAAAGCGGUACGCGAGCUGGGUUCAGAACGUCGUGAGACAGUUCGGUCCCUAUCCGUCGUGGGCGUAGGAAAUUUGAGAGGAGCUGUCCUUAGUACGAGAGGACCGGGAUGGACGCACCGCUGGUGUACCAGUUGUUCUGCCAAGGGCAUAGCUGGGUAGCUAUGUGCGGAAGGGAUAAGUGCUGAAAGCAUCUAAGCAUGAAGCCCCCCUCAAGAUGAGAUUUCCCAUAGCGUAAGCUAGUAAGAUCCCUGAAAGAUGAUCAGGUUGAUAGGUUCGAGGUGGAAGCAUGGUGACAUGUGGAGCUGACGAAUACUAAUAGAUCGAGGACUUAACCA
rnacentral:rRNA from 1 species